CUCUCUGGGUGACGAGCGGCGGACGGGUGAGUAAUGUCUGGGAAACUGCCUGAUGGAGGGGGAUAACUACUGGAAACGGUAGCUAAUACCGCAUGACCUCGCAAGAGCAAAGUGGGGGACCUUCGGGCCUCACGCCAUCGGAUGUGCCCAGAUGGGAUUAGCUAGUAGGUGGGGUAAUGGCUCACCUAGGCGACGAUCCCUAGCUGGUCUGAGAGGAUGACCAGCCACACUGGAACUGAGACACGGUCCAGACUCCUACGGGAGGCAGCAGUGGGGAAUAUUGCACAAUGGGCGCAAGCCUGAUGCAGCCAUGCCGCGUGUGUGAAGAAGGCCUUAGGGUUGUAAAGCACUUUCAGCGAGGAGGAAGGGUUCAGUGUUAAUAGCACUGUGCAUUGACGUUACUCGCAGAAGAAGCACCGGCUAACUCCGUGCCAGCAGCCGCGGUAAUACGGAGGGUGCAAGCGUUAAUCGGAAUUACUGGGCGUAAAGCGCACGCAGGCGGUUUGUUAAGUCAGAUGUGAAAUCCCCGAGCUUAACUUGGGAACUGCAUUUGAAACUG
rnacentral:rRNA from 1 species